UACGUAGGUGGCGAGCGUUAUCCGGAAUUAUUGGGCGUAAAGAGCGCGCAGGUGGUUGAUUAAGUCUGAUGUGAAAGCCCACGGCUUAACCGUGGAGGGUCAUUGGAAACUGGUCGACUUGAGUGCAGAAGAGGGAAGUGGAAUUCCAUGUGUAGCGGUGAAAUGCGUAGAGAUAUGGAGGAACACCAGUGGCGAAGGCGGCUUCCUGGUCUGUAACUGACACUGAGGCGCGAAAGCGUGGGGAGCAAAC
rnacentral:rRNA from 1 species